rnacentral:rRNA from 1 species
CUGGCUAUAGGAAAUUGUUAGUGGCAGACGGGUGAGUAAUGCGUAGGAAUCUACCUAGUAGUACGGAAUAGCCAUUAGAAAUGGUGGGUAAUACUGUAUAAUCCCCGAGGGGGAAAGAUUUAUCGCUAUUAGAUGAGCCUACGUUAGAUUAGCUAGUUGGUGAGGUAAUGGCUUACCAAGGCUAUGAUCUAUAGCUGGUCUGAGAGGACGAUCAGCCACACUGGAACUGAGAUACGGUCCAGACUCCUACGGGAGGCAGCAGUGGGGAAUAUUGGACAAUGGGCGAAAGCCUGAUCCAGCUAUGCCGCGUGAGUGAAGAAGGCCUUCGGGUUGUAAAACUCUUUCAAUAGGGAAGAUAAUGACGGUACCUAUAGAAGAAGUCCCGGCAAACUCUGUG